rnacentral:rRNA from 1 species
GAUGAACGCUGGCGGCGUGCCUAAUACAUGCAAGUCGAGCGAACGGACGAGAAGCUUGCUUCUCUGAUGUUAGCGGCGGACGGGUGAGUAACACGUGGAUAACCUACCUAUAAGACUGGGAUAACUUCGGGAAACCGUAGCUAAUACCGGAUAAUAUUUUGAACCGCAUGGUUCAAAAGUGAAAGACGGUCUUGCUGUCACUUAUAGAUGGAUCCGCGCUGCAUUAGCUAGUUGGUAAGGUAACGGCUUACCAAGGCAACGAUGCAUAGCGGACCUGAGAGGUUAUUCGGCAAACUGGAAAUGAGACACGGGCCAGACUCCCAAGGGGGGGAGCCGGAGGGAAUCUUUCGCAAUGGGGGGAAGCCCUACGGCGGCAAGACGGGGUAGGUAAGAAAGGCUUUGGGUUGUAAAACCCUUUUUUUUGGGAAGAACAAAUGGGUAAUUAACUGUGCACAGCUUGACGGUACCCAAUCAGAAAGGCACGGCUAACUUCGGG